UGUCAAAAUUCCGAAAAAAGGUUUUUUGUUGUUGGUUUUGUUGGCAAGAAAAUGGUUGGCAGGUUAUGUGCCGAACCUGAAAAAAUGUGUUAAAGUGCAUGUGUUUUAAAAAAGUAUAUAUCUCAGUGAAGUGGUUGGCGAAGCCUGAUGCAGAUAUCUUACUUUGCACCUUUGCCGUCAACCCAACACAUGCAAUAGAUGGUUGUCCACUGCAGGAGUUUGUCCUCCCAUACCAAGUGCCGUUUUCCAGAUUAGGAUUCGGCACUUAGUCAUAUUUUAUAUAAAACCUGGUAUUAAACUGACUCUAAUGACCCAGUCAUAUUUUAUAUAAACCCAGCCAUAUUUUAUAUAAUAACCCAGCGGUAGAAUUUUAAAUUAAUUUAAACUGCAACUUCAACACACACAAAUGUCUGGCUAACGGCCAACCACCAAAAGCUCCAAGUCGCAGCUGUGCUGGACACAUCAGCUGUCUGGGCUACGCAAACAGAUGAGCUGUUGCUAGCUGCAGACGCUCAUUGAUCACAGGAGAAUUGCUUCCCAGCAGGCUGUGUUUCUACUGCAAAACACCUGCGUCCGGCAGCCUUGUGAUCUACGUUGGCUAUUUGCUCCGCACUUGUGGUGGCUUCGAGGCCGAAUAUCUGCGUUACCCAGGAGGAAGGCGAACGGCUGACUAGCAGCUUAUUUUUUUUUGUUUGUUUGUUUAUUAUUGUUAAUUUACGUUAUGUUGUUCAAUUAUGCAUCUAUAAGUGAUAGUCCAUCAAUGUUGUAAGUGUAAUAUGAUGUGGCGAGAAAGUUGAACCAACAACUUUUCUUGGGCCCUCAUAAUACAAGUACCGCUGUACUAUUGUAUAAAAAUAGAAGUGGCAAUCAUUUAAGAAUGCAUGUAAGGCAACACAUAUAGGCAAAUUAUUAUUGUAAAAUUGUAUUUAGUUAUAAAAAUUAAUGUUUUUGUAUUGCCUGAAAAGCAAGUAAAACCAUCCUUGCAUACAUUUGUAUGUAUGCAUGUUUGUUUUGAUCGACGCUACCGGUCAUAGCAAGCAGCUUUCAUGCAGGCGCAAAAGCUCGCAAUUAUUAUUAUUCCCCACAGAUACACCACAGACAGGCACCAACACAAGGAAAGAUCUUUCUGCGUGGGAGUCUCUAAUGUAUUGGUGCGUCCUAUUAGUUGGCCCUUUCCUUGAACCCCAUGCUAUCUGAGCAAAGCCCGGAGAAGCCAGCGCGUACGCCACACUAGUAAACCUUCCACCAGCACCAGACGAAUACCUCCUUAG